GUCCUUCUAGACUGAGCUGCAAAGACGCCCCUGCCUCCAUGCCUUUGUUCAAUGUGAUGAUGCCCCUGGGAAUGGGAGGUGAUGGUUUCUCACUCCGGCCCUAGUACAGAGUAUGCUCUUGAAGCUGGAUUCCAUCAGCAGAAGCCUUUUAUGUGGCAGUAGGCCUCCAGGGAGGAGAAGAAAAUGUACAAGAGCCACAGGAGCACGAAGAGGCAGGAUGUGAGGAGCUUGGCAGUCCGGGGCCCACCCAGCUCACCUCCGAUUUCCGGCCUCCGCCGAUACAGCAGCACCCCCACGUUGAUGAAAGCAAAAAUGGUGAAGAGAGUGACAGAGAAAGCUAGUGUGCCAGGGGACACUUUGAACUGUUCCCCGUUGGCUGCAUGGUAGAUGGCAGCGAUGGACCAGGCCACUCCGAUUCCCAGGAAGACAUUCACCGCGUUGCUGCCGGUGACAUUACCUAUGGACGCGUCUGCAUACUGGUCCUGGGUGGCCGCCACUUUGCUUGCAAAUGUGUCUGUGGAGGAAAAAGAAAAAGGCAGUGUCACUCAGUAUUUUAAAGUGGGCUGUGGAGCGCUGGAAGCGUCAGCCAUGUACUCUAGGAUCCAAUCCCCCAGUGGAAACCCAGGGACCAGGAGAGGGUUUUGCUGUUCUCUGAAGCCCCGGUUCUGUGGUCAGGACGAUGGGAUCGAGGCAUCAGAAGCCAAAGGUUUGGUGUCGGCUGUGUUAUUGACCAGAGGAUCUUGGUCAAGUUCUUGACCCACAGGUACCACAGGUCUCUCUCAUCUUGAUCUCGCAGGGUCACAUUUUUCAGAGGGAUCGUAGCCCAUCGACGUCAGAAUCAUGUGGGGGUCCUGCUGUCAUAAUAGAAUGUGUGACCCCAGGCAGAUUACUUAAUUUCUCUAAGUUUCAGUUUUUUAAUGUGUGAAAUGGGAUAGGGACGCCCAUUUCAGGGUAUUGUUAGCCUGAAAUACAACAUGUGAAAUGCUCAUGUUUCUUGGAGCAAGGUAAGAGUAGCUCUUUUUUUCCUGUUUUGCAAAGACCAUGUAAUGCAGGCUAGAUCAGUUUACUAAAAGCGGAGGCAGGAUCUGAUACAGCUCCCCUUAUCGAGCCGGUAAACAGAACUUGCAAGAUACUGUUUCUUUUCUAUAUAAUUUUCUCAUUAAUAACAUCGAGGUCCUCUCAGCUACCUUGGCAGAAGACCUUGCACAGAAGGUUUAUAGAAGAUGUGAAGAGCUUGUCCAAUUGAACUCACAAUUGCAGAGCCAGUAACGGCAGGACAGGCAGCUGAGCAAGGGAAGUAAAGGAAAGAGUGGAAGGCAGGAGAAAGCUCGGCGCUCAGCUGCUGCAGAGGAACAUCUGAGACGCUGCUCUGCGCUGACAUGGCGGCCGGCACCAGCUGGUGGCGAACAGAUGGCCUCGGUAGGCUGGGCCGUCGGGGUGGAGGCGCUGCCUCCCUCUGCUGCCGGGGCAGGUGGCCUGGUGCCGGGCCACACCUGCCUACCACCCCCCGGCAUGGGCUACAGGGCACAUUGGACUUCCAGGGUGCCCCAUCUCCGCUCAACCUCUAAGACUUUCUGGAGGUUUCUGCCGCUUAACCAGAAGGGAAUGAGGCAUAACAUCAAAGAUUCCUGAGCCUCGGGGACCCUAAACACCCAGAUUAGACUUUUUGCCAGAUCUGCAGGGAUGUCCCCCUCCCUCGGUUUUUCAAUAGCCUGUUGUGAAUAUCCAAGGGGAAUUCUUGUAAUAACAGGCUCCUGUUUUCAAAUGCCUUUCUCUGGCUUCCCUACAGAAUUAACAGCCAAAGUAACCAGUUUGUCACAUAAAUGAAACCUGUUUGGGGCCUUCGGCAUCUGGUAGGCUUUAUUUACCUGCGUUCGACAUCAGGCCUUUUGUCUGUUUUAAUUCAAAAGCUAUGCGAAAAUGAUAGAGACACAAGCAAAUCCAAACCAUUAACCUUAGCUCCAGCAGAGACAAUGCUGUUUUUCAAAUAAAGUAUGAUGGAAUCUCCCCAAAUUACCUUCUAUCACUGCUUUGCUGCUUCACGCAAAGAGCAACACAUCACACACCAUAUGUCAGGCACUGCCAAGCCUUACCCUGAACGCUAAGCCCAUAACCUGCUUACUGUUGAACAAGGCAAAAGACACUCAUAUGCCAUUCCUCAAAGUAAAAUCCAAGAAAUAACUACUGCUGUGGUUUCAGGGGGAAGGGGGGUGUCGUAAUCCUGUGCAGAACUUGGCUCAUUAAACAAACACAUGCAAAUCAGAUUUCCCAUGUGAUUGGCACAAAGUAAGACAUGUUGAUAAUUACAUAUUAUAUUACAUAUAUUACAUAAAUUACAUAUAUAUUACAUAUAUAUAUAUAUAUAUAUAUAUAUAUAUAUAUAUAUCUUCCUACGUAUACACCUUAGGUCAGAUUUCUAGUAGGAAUUUUUCCUUUUAACUCUCACCUUGAACUCUAAUAAAUUUUGAAUUAGCCAUAGCCUUAGACUCAGUCAUAGCCUUAGACUUUUCAUUCUGCUGCCUAGUACCUUUGACUAAAAAUCAGUAAGUAGGGAGAGGGGUGCCUGGGUGGCUUAGUUGUUAAGCAUUUGCCUUCUGCUCAGGUCAUGAUCCCAGGGUCCUGGGAUCCAGUCCCACAUCGGGCUCCCUGCUCAGCUUUCAGAAGCCUGCUUCUCCCUCUCCCACUCCCCCUGCUUGUGUUCCCUCUCUCACUGUGUGUCUCUCUCUGUCAAAAAAUAAAUAAAAUCUUAAAAAAAAAAAUCAGUAAUGGGGAAGAUUCGACUGGGAGACAGCAUGGCUGGAGCUAAACCAUACAUCACAGAAUCAGGACAUAACUGUUCUCGGCAGACCUGUCUUAAGAGUUUCCUGUGUGUAACCUUGGCCAAGACAUCUGGUCAAUGAGCAAAAGAGGAGUUGGAACAAGAGCAGCCUUCUUCAUUAGACUUGAUUAGUGACAUUAUCUCCUCAUUUUAAAGAAUGGCCUAAAUGAAAUCUUCAAAGAUCCUAGGAGGGUUUCUAGAGCUGAAGAUACUGCCAUUGAUCAAAUUGUGACAGUAUUUAUGAAAUUAAACCAUACCACCCAGAGUCUGUUACUUUUCCAAAGAGAGAAAUGUUGGCGAAAUAAUUUACUUGAAGUUAGUUGGACCAGUCAUCCAUUUAUAUGAGUAAAGCCAUGGGUACACAUGAGACAGUGAUGACUACUGGCAAACAGUGCAUGUAAUGUCAAGUUCACACACAACUGGCAUGGGGAAUACUGGAAGAGCCUGGUUAUAAGAUCUGGGGCUUCAUUCUCACCCACUUAAUCAGACUCUCAGAAGAAAGGAUACAGGGAUAUGCAUUUUAGUAAGUGCCUUGGGUGAGUCUUCUUGACACCAGUGUUUCAGAACCAUGGCUCUAAGGCAUGGGAAUGGCUAUUGUUCCAAAUGGCCACUGUUUGGGCAGCCCUGCUGAAAGGAACAGAUGUUUGUUUUGGGGAAGCAGCUGAUUUCUCUUAGAAACAGUGAUGCCCUCAGAUACCGGGGUUAUUUUACUCACAGAACCACUUAGGUGGGCUUGGUGGAGGGGCCAGGCCUGCCUAACUAUAAUGUCUUCCCACUCUCAAGUUACACAAUGCUCUUAUUACUUUUUUUUUUUAAGGUUUAUUUUAGCUCGAGUGAGCACAUGGAUUGGCGAGGGGGCAGAGGGAGAGAGUCUUCAAGCAGACUCUCUGCUGAGUGCAGAGCCCUUGGGCUCCAUCCUGGGACCCAUGAGAUCAUCACCUGAGCCAAAACCAAGACUUGGACACUCAACUGACUGAGCUACCGAGGUGCACUAAUGUUUUACUAUCUUUAAACUUCAUUCCAGGAUAGAUGCUACGAAAGGCCAAAGCAGGAAGGAAAUUUACUUUAGUUGAAUUCUGGCUCUGUCACCUUGCCAGGCACUGUGCUCCUGGCUCUUUUAGAAUUCGAACGGAAAUAGUCGAAGUACUAGUUCUUCUGUCACAGAAGACUUUGAACAAGGUUUUGUCUUUAGUUGUGACAUUUACCCAAGUAAAUACAAAAACCACACUGCCUCACACACUCUGCCGGUUCAUCUCAAAAGAAUCCUUAUUUGACUUCCAAGCAAAGUUCAAGGGAUCAAGGAAUUACUGGUGUUUGAUUGAUUAAUGACCAGUCAGGAGUUGUAAAAACAGAAAAAGGGUAAAGCACUUAAAUGAGAUUUCUGCCCAUAAAAGCUGCUCCUGAAAGAGAGAGAAAAAAGAAAUAGAGACGGUGACAUGGCCUAUUUUUAGAAGAGAAGAAAACGGAGGUAAGCAAAAAGCUCCAGAGGACUCGUGUUGGCAGAUCAGAACACCUGCUUCUAGUCAUUUUUAUCCCCAACUGCAAAUCAAGCACCAGGGCAACUUCUGAAAAAUACCAGCUUUCUAACCCCACCCAAGUUUCUGCUUCAUUGGUCUGAACACUGGUGGUUUUUUUUUUUUAAUUUUAUUUAUUUACUUACUUAUUCUAUUUAUUUAUUUGGGGGAUGGGGAGGUGUGAAGGGGGAGAGAGAAGCCUCAGCAGUCUCCAUGCCCAGCAUAGAGCCCGACGCAAGUUUCAAUCCCACAAUUCUGAGAUCAUGACCUGAGCCAAAAUCAAGAGUUGGACACUCAACUGACCUGUCCCUGGACAGCAGUAUUUUUAAAGCUCCCCCAACUAGACUGAGAUCCGCUCAGAGCCUUUGUGUCUUCGUCUGUGUAAGGACAAUGGCACUUCUCAUAGAUUAGCCUGGAUAACAUAUGAAAUAGCCCUGACACCAUUUUUUUGUUGUUGCUGUUGUUACCAAGUAACUUUUUGUUCUGCUUAUAUUAACUUGAAUGUUUGCACUGUGCAAGAGUACCUUGGGACUUGGUUUUCCUAGCAUGUAUUUGAAAUCCCUGUAGAUUUUAAGGGCGCCUGGAUGGCUCAUGCAGUUAAACAUCUGCCUUUGGCUCAGGUCGUGAUCCAGGGGUCUGGGGUUGAGCCCUGUGUCAGGCUCCCUGUUCAGCGGGGAGUCUGCUUCUCCCUCCUCCACUCCCCUACUUGUGCGUGCUUGCUUGCCUGCUCUCCGUCAAAUAAAUAAAAUCUUAAAAAAAAAAAAAAAGAUAUCCUGGUAGAUUUUAAAUUCAGAGAUGAAUUCUAAUUAGAAGAAAAAUAAUAGGGGCUUAUUUUCCAGGGGACACAAAACAGAGAAGAGGAUAAACACAAACCAACAGUGCCAUUUGAUCGGACUUCCAAAGUGUAAUUUGAUCUGUGUUUUCAAAAGAAAAUAACACUCCAGUCUUAAACACCUCCAUGAUGGGGUGAUUGAUUUUUCAGUAUGAUGAUCAUGAACAUCCAGGAGAGGGCCCAAGGUUCCCCUUCCUUGUCCAAACCUCUAGCUUCAUGAGAUUUGCUAAAAUUUUCUAAAAUCCCUGGUUCUAAAUCUCUGAGGUCAAUAAAAACACCUGAGCAUCUCAGAGAACUCUGUCUGAGAUGGGGCUCAUUCUAUUCAAUCGCUUCAUCACUCUCCCCACUCCUACACUUGACCCUGAAAAAAGCCCCAAGCCAACGAGCUGGGUGUAAAGCAAAGAAGUGAUGUUCUGCCCUGGUGGUCUCUUGAGACUUGGAUUAACAUGGUUCUGGAGUGGACUAGAUUAUGUAUGUUAAGCAGGUUUGGUACUUUGACUUUGGGAGUCCUUAUUUCCUUCCCCAAAUUAAAAGGUUCAUGCAGAUCAUCGCAGUGGAAGUUCCAGUGUGUGCCUGAAAAACUAAGGGGCUUAGGUUGGCUGACUUGAGAAAAGUCUCCUGAUCUGGUCAAGCGAUGAACAGGCAGCUUGAUGCUGACCAUAAUAUUGCGCAGGUCCCAGUGAGUUCAUGUGAAUCAGUGGUUCUGCUUGGCAUUGAGACACAUAAGUAAGCUGAGGUCAUUGUCAGGAGUUCCUUUGGUCACCUGGUUCCAUGUUACUCUGUGGUUAACCAUGGUCAUUACUGAAGAAUGCUGGUCCUGAUUCCCAUGGACUGCACAAUGUCUCUAGUUAGAGUAGUAAGGAGCCUGAGCUAAGGAGUAAGACCUAGUUCUCCUCCCAUUUGCCGUACGCUGGCAAUGUGGCCUUGGGAUAACCUCUCUUCAAGCCUCUGAUAUAUAAAAUAGGGAAAAUAAAAAUCCUCAUUUAUAUAGCCAUGACAAUGAUCAAAAGUACUGCAACACAACUUAGCAUGGUUUUGGAAGUUCGUAAAUGCACAGCAAAUACUGUUAUAUUUCAGAAUUCUUUGUUCUGGUGAUAACAAAGGCAAUGUUAAUGUUAUUAAAAUUUUUCAUUAUGGUUUCCUUCAGCUAGGUGGUUUAUGUUUCAUAGAUCUUAUGUAGGAUUUUGGGAGAAUGUGUGUCUCUUUGAUGUCCAGAAAUGAUGGUGGUGAUAAGGGCAACAAUAACAUUUACGAGGCUCCUAGGAGAGGCUCUACAUAUGGCUUCUCAUUUAAUCUGCAAAACAACCAUAUGAGCUAGGAAUUUCUAUUAUCUUCAUUUGAUAGAUGAGAAAACUGAAUCUCUGAGUGUAAGAAAUUUGUCCAGGGGCAGCUGGGUGGCUCAGUGGGUUAAAGCCUCUGCCUUCAGCUCAGGUCAUGAUCCCAGGGUCCUGGGAUCGAGCCCCACAUCAGGCUUUCUGCUCAGCAGGGAGCCUGCUUCCUCCUCUCUCUGCCUGCCUCUCCGCCUACUUGCAGUUUCUGUCUGUCAAAUAAAUAAAUAAAAUCUUACCAAAAAAAAAAAAAAGAAAAGAAAAUUUUUUUCAGAGUUAUAUAGCUAGUAAAAGGUGAAACUAGAAUUCAGAUCAAACAAAUAUGAUUCUAGCUAGAGCUCAUGUUCUUAACCACAGGUCCAUGGUAGUUUAUUUUUUUAGGAUUUAGUUUUUGGGAAGAGAGAGAGAGAGAGAGAACAAGAAAGUGUGCAGAGGGAAGGGUAGAGGGAGAGAGAGAAUUUUUUUUUGA